GUGCUUGCUUCAGCAGCACAUAUACUAAAAUUGGAAUGAUAAAGAGAUUAACAUGACCCCUAUGCAAGAAUGACACACAAACUUGUGAAGUGUUCCAUAUGUUU